GACGAACGCUGGCGGCGUGCUUAACACAUGCAAGUCGAACGGAAAGGCCCCUUUUGGGGUACUCGCGUGGCGAACGGGUGAGUAACACGUAAGUAACCUGCCCUUGCCUUCGGGAUAACUUCAUGAAACUGGGUCUAAUACCGGCUAGGAAUCCUUGCUUCCUGGUUGGGGUGGGAUAGCUUCGGGGGUUUUGGAUGGACUCGCGGCUUAUCUGCUUGUUGGUGGGGUGGUGGCUUACCAAGGCUUUGACGGGUAGCCGGCCUGAGAGGGCGACCGGCCACAUUGGGACUGAGAUACGGCCCAGACUCCUACGGGGGGCAGCAGUGGGGAAUAUUGCACAAUGGGCGGAAGCGUGAUGCAGCACCGCGGCGUGCGGGAGGACGGCCUUCGGGUUGUAAACCGCGUUCAGCAGGGGGGAAGCGUGUGGUGACGGUAACUGCAGAAGAAGCAACGGCUAACUACGUG
rnacentral:rRNA from 1 species